GGUGCCCAAUACCAAGUGCCCAUGCAUGAUGCGUCCUCCUAUGUCCACCAUGAUGUAACAGGCAAAAGGUGCCUCAAUCCAAGGCCUGCAGGUUUCGUUUGUUUCCUGGGAGAAGAGAGGAGAAGGUGGGGGUGGCCUUGCGAAUUGCGAUUGCAAGGAGUGGUGGAGUGGUGCCUGUGCCUUAAGCGGGUGGGUUAAUUUAUUGUGCGAUUAGGACCUGUGAGUGAUUAGAGCACAACAAUUGGCGGCCGCCUCCGAUCCCAACGCAACGGUCUCCAUCUCUGUGGACUGUGAUGGGAUCAUUUCUCUCUUUCUUUUUUUUUUCCAAAGGAUUUUAGGUCUUUUUACAGCAGUAGCAUAGAUAGGAGGCACACCUGAAAUUUUUUUUGACGGGACGGAGUAUUUGUGUCUCUGCUUUGGGAUGAUGAUUAUCGGCGACGCGUGUCUAUCGGAGAGACGGCCGGAGAUGCUCUUCGUUAUGUGCGUAUUAGAUUAGAUGUGCCGUUACACAGCUUAUUUGGUGGGUGUUAGCCUCAUUCACGCACCCCCCGGCCCACUGCGACAGUGUUCAGUCAAGCUUGCUGCUCUCUUGGUAGUGCUCGCUCAAAUGGAUGGCCAUGUAAAGAUGCUGUCAUGGGGAUAUGAUGCUAGAUCUUUUUCUUUAAUACGUAAAAAUCAAUUCUACCUUUUGAAAAUAUAUAAAAAUAAAACAAGCUAAGUAGUUUCGUUCUGGAAACAUCUUGUCUAUCCUCAGUCCCAUGACAAAGUUUCAGUGCAGUUAUUUUAGGCUUUGUUUAGUUGUAAAUUUUUUUGGAAAUCGAUACUGUAGCACUUUCGUUUGUAUUUGACAAAUAUUGUCUAAUCAUGGAUUGACUAGGCUUAAAAGAUUCGUCUCGUCAAUUCCGACCAAACUGUGCAAUUAGUUUUUAUUUUCAUCUAUAUUUAAUACUCCAUGCAUGC
rnacentral:lncRNA from 1 species